UUAAAUCUUUCUUCCAUUAUUUUUCCCUUUCCAAUAACAGAUCUGUAUAAUCCCCUGGAUUCAUGAAGUAUUUAUGGAAGUUAUUCUUGCUUUUAAAGACUGCGAUUCAUUGGUUUUACGAGGAGUUGGAUGAUUAUUGUCUGUGUGCUACGUGCGGAUAAUUUGGUGAUAACAUACCUUUGUGUUCUUGUUUAUUUUCUGCAGAUUCCCAUUGGCACUGUAUGAUGCCACCUGAGAGAAGAAAGAGUGGUCGUCACAGGUCAUCUAUUGAUCGACUAAGCAACCUUCCAAAGAAUGUUAUCAAUUCCAUCCUGAUGCGUUUGCCUUUGCAAGAUGCUGUAAUGACAAGCAUCUUAUCGAAGAAAUGGAGGUAUAAAUGGUGCAGCAUUCCACAGUUGACACUUGAUGAUAAACUUUGGGAGGAGACACGUGCCUUACUAUCCCCUUCUAUUAAGUUUACAAAAAUUCUGUACCAGAUUUUGACCCUUCAUUCAGGACCACUUACUAAGUUUACCCUCUCCAUUUCUUCACUGAGAAAGUAUCUUAAGAUUAAUAGUUUGAUAUAUUUCCUCUCUAGGAAUGACAUUCAGGAUCUUGUUCUUAAAUUUUCGGAGUGGAACCGAUACAGAUUGCCACCUUCAUUUUUCGUGUGUUCUCAGUUGAGGCAUUUGACUCUCCAAAAUUGUGUAAUAUGCCCUCCACCAGCCUUCAAAGGAUUUGAUAUGUUAAAUAGCCUGAAUCUGUGUGACGCGACUAUUUCUUCCAAACUACUAGAAAGUUUAAUCUCUUGUAGCCCCUUGCUAGAGAAGUUGGUGUUGAAAAUUUCAGAUACUGCAGACCACCUUCAAAUAAACGCUCCCAAUUUGAGAUCCUUUGACUUCACAGGCUGCAUAAAAUAUAUUUCUUUUAGGAGUGUUCCUCUUCUUUCUAAACUUUCUCUUCCGUGCCAAAAAUCUAUUGAGGAAUCAGAAAAAUGUGAUUUUGACAAAUUUUUUCAGUUACUUUCUGCUCUUGAGCAUCUCUACUUGGCAAAUGGAAGUGACCAGUUCUUGGUUACAGGUGCAGCUGAAAUCCCAAGAAGACUUUCCUCUCCUCUUAACUAUCUUAAACGUUUUAACAUAACUCUGCAUGGAUUAGCUGAUUUUUUCGUUGCUCUUUGCUUGAUACAAAGCUCCCCAUACAUACAAGAUAUUGAAAUGGAGGUAUAUUACUCGAGGUAUUAUAUGUCAGAAAAACUUGAGGCUUCUAAUGAAGUUGAUGAAGUUCUCGCAAGUUUUACAAAUGUGACAUUGAAUCACCUUAGGACAGUUCAGCUUGGACGAGUAGAAGGCAUAAAGGUCGAAUUGCAGCUUAUCAAGCUUCUAUUGACCAAAUCUCCUAUGCUGGUGAGAAUGCUAAUUGAUCCAUCGCUUGGUGAUAACUAUGAUGCAAGAAGAGACAAGAUAAUAGCAGCAACAACAAUUCAGCGGGCAUCAAGUAAAGCUAAUGUGGUUGUAUCUGAUGCAUAUGAAGAUUAUCGAGACAUGACUCCCUAGUAUCUGCUUGAUUUUUGCCAGAUCGAUAAGAAGAAUUGAAAUUCAAAAUUCUUGUUUGUAAUCAUUACAGUGCUAAGGGUUUAUAUUUCAUUCCUUUUUCUUGAACGAUCUAUGAAAUGAAACCUGGAUAUGAAUCUACACUAUGGUGCUUUAUUUUCAAAGAACUGUGAUUAAAUGUGAUAUCCUUUAGGCAUUUA